rnacentral:lncRNA from 1 species
CUAACAGAGCGCUGCUGUUGAAGGGGCACAGAGUUUCAGUGAAAGCUCAGACCCAAAGCAUAAAUUAUGAUCACUUUAAGGGUAAGGGAGUAGAAUUGGUUUGUUUCAAGGUGGAAGGAUAUGGCAAAGCUGUGUGGAAGGCUUGAAUUGCACAUGGAGAGCCCUGAAUCCCCAUUCCUGCUCUGCCCCAGACUGUGUGGCCGGCUGUUCCCCUUUCCGGACCUCAGGAGAUAGGGCUUGGUAGAGCUUCUAAACUCUAUCUACUUCCAGCCCAGAAAGGCCGUUUG